rnacentral:rRNA from 1 species
UACAGAGGUGCCGAGCGUUAGGCGGAAUCACUGGGCUUAAAGCGUGUGUAGGCGGGUUCGUAAGUACCUUGUGAAAUCCCAUGGCUCAACCAUGGAACUGCUUGGUAUACUGCGAAUCUUGAGCCACUUAGGGGCUACCGGAACAAAUGGUGGAGCGGUGAAAUGCGUAGAUAUCAUUUGGAACGCCAAUGGUGAAAACAGGUAGCUGGGAGUGUGCUGACGCUGAGACACGAAAGCCAGGGGAGCGAACGGG